rnacentral:pre_miRNA from 1 species
GAAGCGAUGGUGUUCUUGACGUCUGGACCACGAGGGUUUGCUUUACGUUGGGCAUGAAGAAACAAUCAUCUACCGCGGUUCAGUCAUCAAGAACACCUUUGCUUU